rnacentral:piRNA from 1 species
UACAGAUCCAUGGACCUACCCAA